rnacentral:rRNA from 1 species
CCUACGGGUGGCAGCAGUGGGGGAUAUUGCACAAUGGGGGAAACCCUGAUGCAGCGACGCCGCGUGUAGGAAGACGGUCCUCUGGAUUGUAAACUACUGUCCCCAGGGACGAAGAUGACGGUACCUGGGGAGGAAGCUCCGGCUAACUACGUGCCAGCAGCCGCGGUAAUACGUAGGGAGCGAGCGUUGUCCGGAAUUACUGGGUGGAAAGGGAGCGUAGGCGGGGAUGCAAGUUGGGUGUUAAAUCUACCGGCUCAACUGGUAGUCGCACUCAAAACUGCAGCUCUUGAGUGAAGUAGAGGCAGGAGGAAUUCCUAGUGUAGCGGUGAAAUGCGUAGAUACUAGGAGGAACACCAGUGGCGAAGGCGGCCUGCUGGGCUGUUACUGACGCUGAGGCUCGAAAGUGUGGGGAGCAAACAGGAUUAGAUACCCCAGUAGUC